rnacentral:lncRNA from 1 species
AUAGACCAGUGUGUGAAGUGUCCAGAGAGUCAUUAUGCAAAUACAAAGAAGAGCAACUGGUACAAAAAUCUAUCACCUUUCUGGCCUAUGAAGACCACUUGUCCUCUGGGCUAUACACCACACAUUUGUGCUUAUUUGCACUCAUUGUCUUUGUUAUUAGCAUCUUUGUGAAACAGGGAGACACUGCUAUUGUUAAAUCCAAUAAUUGAGCUCUCAGUUACAAUUUGGUCAUCCCACUCAAAUUCUGUUUCCUAUGUUCUUUUUACUUCAUUGGUCAACCCAACCCCCAACACAGGUGUCUGCAUCCUUCAGCAGACAAACUUUGCAGUUGCUUUCACUAUGGCUCUUGCCAAUGUGUUGGCCAAAGUUAUUACUGUGGUACUUGCCUUUAAAGUCCAUUUUCCAAGGAGAAUGGUAAGGUGGCUAAUGAUAUCAAGGGAUCAAAACUAUGUAAUUCCUAUCUGCACCCUGAUCCAACUCCUUCUUUGUGGAGUAGGGUUGUCAAUAUCUCCACUACUCAUUUACCAAGAUGCUCAUACUGAACAUGGAUACAUCAUCAUUUUCUUCAAGAAGGGCUCAGCUGUUGCCUUCCACUCUAUCCAUGGAUAACACUAUUUCUUGGCCUUUGGGAGUUAUCCCAUGGCCAUCUUGUCUAAAAUUUGCCUGAUACAUUCAAUGAAUCUAAAUUUUUAUCAUUCAGUAUGGUGGUGUUCUUCUGUAUUUGGGUCACCUUUCUUCCUGUCUAUCAUAGCACUAAAGGGCAUGAUGGCUAUGGAAGUUUUCUCUAUCUUGUUUUCCAGCA